rnacentral:misc_RNA from 1 species
GACAACUGCCAGGCGUAAGCGCAAACAGGAGAUGAAUCGUAGAGUGUGGACGGGUGCCACAAAGGAGCAUGAUAAAUUGAAGGAGGCCGAGGCGCACCGAGCUGAGGGGCGCCAAGGAGAAGGGCGCCAAGGUGAAGGGCGCCAAGGGGAAGGGCGCCAAGGAGAAGGGCGCGAAAGUGAAGAGCGCCAGGGGGAAAGGCGCCAAGGAGAAGAGCGCGAAGAUGAAGGGCGCCAGGAAGAAGGGCGCCAAGGAGAAGGGCGACAGGGGGAAGGGCGCCAAGGUGAAGAGCGCCAGGCCGGAGGGCCCGAGGAGCAGGCGGCGAGGCCUCCGCCCGAGCGCAAUCAGACCUGCGGUCGGCGUUCGUAGAGGGAGGCUGAAGAGCAGAGGCAGUUCGCCGAGGUCGGGUCAGCGGAUGCCCUCGCGCCCUGCCGCUUCAGCGCCGCUUCAGCGCCCGGCGGGAAGGUCGUCGAGGCAGCUGACGGGGACCUGCGGAUUAUCGUUCAUCAAGGAUUUCUAGAUUUUUUGCAAAGAUUUGAUUUCAUCCUUGGUUGACUUUUUGUAACGGAAACUAAUUGUUCUAUGCCAGAGGACAU